rnacentral:rRNA from 1 species
AGGUACUCCGGGGAUAACAGGCUGAUACCGCCCAAGAGUUCAUAUCGACGGCGGUGUUUGGCACCUCGAUGUCGGCUCAUCACAUCCUGGGGCUGAAGUAGGUCCCAAGGGUAUGGCUGUUCGCCAUUUAAAGUGGUACGCGAGCUGGGUUUAGAACGUCGUGAGACAGUUCGGUCCCUAUCUGCCGUGGGCGCUGGAGAACUGAGGGGGGCUGCUCCUAGUACGAGAGGACCGGAGUGGACGCAUCACUGGUGUUCGGGUUGUCAUGCCAAUGGCACUGCCCGGUAGCUAAAUGCGGAAGAGAUAAGUGCUGAAAGCAUCUAAGCACGAAACUUGCCCCGAGAUGAGUUCUCCCUGAGACUUAGAGUCUCCUGAAG